UACGAAGGGGGCUAGCGUUGUUCGGAAUUACUGGGCGUAAAGCGCGCGCAGGCGGGCUUCCAAGUCAGUGGUGAAAGCCCGGAGCUCAACUCCGGAACUGCCAUUGAAACUGUUAGACUUGAGGACGAGAGAGGUGAGUGGAAUUCCCAGUGUAGAGGUGAAAUUCGUAGAUAUUGGGAAGAACACCGGUGGCGAAGGCGGCUCACUGGCUCGUAUCUGACGCUCAGGCGCGAUAGCGUGGGGAUCAAACAGG
rnacentral:rRNA from 1 species